ensembl:lncRNA
CAUCACCCGGGUAAGAGCCCCUCCCUCUGCCACCAUCACCCGGAUCCAGGCGGUGAGCGACGUGUCGGAGCUUCACGCCGUCCUCGCCUCCUGCUCCGAUCACCUGACCCUCUGCGGCUGCAACCGGCCAAUCGGGAGCCUGGAGGAGCGCGAGGCGUUGGUGGACGACCUCAUCGCCUUCACCAUGAUCACACGUAUGCAGCUGCCGCUCCAGAGGUUCCGUGAGGGUCUGCAGACUCUGGGGGUGUUUGAGCAGGUCCAGCUCUUUCCCUCCGUGUUCUGCCCGGUCUUCACAGCAGAGGGCGCUCAGGAGCUCACGGCGGCUCCUGCCCAGGACCCGGAGCUCCAGGCCGGGCAUGAAGAUCCAGAGGAGCCUGAGGACCCCGCCCCCUCAAGCUCCGCCCCUGCAAGCCCCGCCCAGGGGACCCCGCCCCCUCAAGCCCUGCUCCAGAAGAUCCCGCCCCCUCAAGUCCUGCCCCAGAAGAUCUAGCCCCCUCGAGCCCUGCCCCAGAGGACCCAGCCCUCUCAAGCCCCGCCCCGAGGACUCAGCCCUCUCAAGCCCCGCCCCAGAGGACCCCGCCCUCUAAUAAAGCGUCCGUCCCUGUUAAACUAAAGCAUUAAAGUGAAACUCCUCGUUUUAUCGUAGCGCGUUUUAAACGUUUAGCUUCUGUUUCUCGUUCUGGACUUUUCUUUUUCCUUUGUUUCCUUUAUAUUCUCAUGUUUAUGCUGCAAUUUGUAACUUUGUAACUUUGUAACUUUGUAACUCUAACGAAUCAUGAUCCUGAGUUUGGAAAAUGAAGAGAUUUCCAAAACACCAAACCAUUUGUUUUUCACAUUUACAGACGUGUUUAUGACGAAAUGUGAAUAAACGACAUUCACCAG